CGUAAAUCGCUUGCCGCAGGCAGCACAGCGCCAGCCGCUCGUCCCCGUGCACCUUGCAGUCGAGUGGCGCUCGAAGGCGCGGCCGUGUGCACCACCUCGUGGCUCAGCAGCUUCCACGCGCGCUUGAAGGCUUUCCCGCAGGCCUCGCGGCCAAACCACCCCGCCCGGACCUCAGAGCCGGGGACGAGAGAGCCGGGCGCCUUCACUUUGGCGGAGGCGCGCCUCGGCCGCGGCGUCGGGGACCCGGCGAGGGAUCGAGUACGCCCGGUGUUCAUGGACGAGCUGCACCAGGGCCAGAGCCUCCGCCCCGCCUCCUCCGGGCGCCUGGGAGAGGAGAGAGGGCUCAGUCCCUGGUCAUCUCCAUCCCACACCUGCAGGGCAGAAACCUGCUCCUCCCGCUCAUACCCCUUCAUCGAAUCCCUCCGAUGUUGGCUCUAUCCGGAAAGUCCAGAAUCCGGCUACUUCUCACUCUCUCCCCGGCCGCCUCCCCUAAGCUCAAAUCCUCUCUGACCCCAAGCGAGGACGCCUGUUGCCUGUCUGGACCUCCCGCCUCAGUCCUCGACCCCCAGGCUCCAGAUCCGUCCACUGGAUUGCCUCUGCAGGAACAUGGCCCCUUGGACGUCUCCAGCGCCCUCCGGAGGUGGGCAGCCCCAAGCCAUACUCGAUGCUCAUUGACCACCCCCACCCCCGCCCCAACCUGCCCCAUCUCUGUUUCAUUUUCAAAACUUCAGAUCAGAUCACCCCCUCCCCUGCUUGAAAGCUUUUCCUUUCCCAGGACUCCCCAAUCCCACUACAGGUACCCCCUCACCCCCAGAGUUCACGCCACACUGUGGGCUGGGCAAUCAGACCCUUGGACCUCAUCUUCUGGUCCCUCUUGUCCUCCUCGGCCUUAGUCACUCUGGGCAUCGUCAUCGCACAAAAGCCACUGAAUGGGGCAGAGGGUUGACGGUCAGCCUCGUCCUGCAGGUCCCUGUCGGUGCCAACCCCCAGCCGCAGGGCCAGGAUCUGAAUAACUUAAGCACAGAUCUCUCCACAAACCGUUCUGCCAUCAUCCAACCUCUUCCUACAGGGUGGUUACAAAGCACUGCAUUGUUCUUAGCGUUCAAGGGGAAGGAAAAAAUAUCCUCUAAUUG